rnacentral:SRP_RNA from 1 species
GCUGGGCGCAGUGGCGUGUGCCUGUAAUCCCAGUUACUUGGGAGGCUGAGGCAGGAGAAUCGCUUGAGCCUGGGAGGCGGAGGUUGCAGUGAGCCGAGAUUGCGCCAUUGCACUCCAGCCUGGGUGACAGAGUGAGACUCUGUCUCAA